UGGGGAAUUUUGCACAAUGGGGGAAACCCUGAUGCAGCGACGCCGCGUGAUUUAGAAGGCCUUCGGGUUGUAAAAAUCUUUUUUAUGGGAUGAAAAUGACAGUACCAUAAGAAUAAGGUCCGGCCAAAUACGUGCCAGCAGCCGCGGUAAUACGUAUGGACCGAGCGUUGUCCGGAAUCAUUGGGCGUAAAGGGUACGUAGGCGGCCCAGUAAGUUAGAAGUGAAAUAAUAUAGCUCAACUAUAUAAAGCUUUUAAAACUGCUAGGCUUGAGAGAUGGAAGGGAAAGUGGAAUUCCUAGUGUAGCGGUGAAAUGCGCAGAUAUUAGGAAGAAUACCGGUGGCGAAGGCGACUUUCUGGUCAUCAUCUGACGCUGAGGUACGAAAGCGUGGGUAGCAAACAGG
rnacentral:rRNA from 1 species